rnacentral:rRNA from 1 species
CAAGUCGAGCGGAAAGGCCCUUCGGGGUACUCGAGCGGCGAACGGGUGAGUAACACGUGAGUAACCUGCCCCUGACUCUGGGAUAAGCCCGGGAAACUGGGUCUAAUACCGGAUACGACCACUCCACGCAUGUGGUGGUGGUGGAAAGUUUUUUCGGUUGGGGAUGGGCUCGCGGCCUAUCAGCUUGUUGGUGGGGUAGUGGCCUACCAAGGCGACGACGGGUAGCCGGCCUGAGAGGGCGACCGGCCACACUGGGACUGAGACACGGCCCAGACUCCUACGGGAGGCAGCAGUGGGGAAUCUUGCGCAAUGGGCGAAAGCCUGACGCAGCGACGCCGCGUGGGGGAUGACGGCCUUCGGGUUGUAAACCUCUUUCAGCAGGGACGAAGGUGACGUGUACCUGCAGAAGAAGCGCCGGCUAACUACGUGCCAGCAGCCGCGGUAAUUCA